rnacentral:piRNA from 1 species
UGAGGCUUUAUAUUCUCAGUGCCCCACAAU